UACGUAGGGGGCCAGCGUUGCUCGGAAUUACUGGGCGUAAAGGGUCCGUAGGCGGUGUAGCAAGUCGAUAGUGAAAUCUCUGGGCUUAACCCAGAGGCUGCUAACGAAACUGCUGUGCUAGAGUGUGAGAGAGGCGAGUGGAAUUACGGGUGUAGCGGUGAAAUGCGUAGAUAUGACACAGAACACCGAUUGCGAAGGCAGCUCGCUAAACUGUAACUGACACUGAGGCACGAAAGCGUGGGGAUCAAACAGG
rnacentral:rRNA from 1 species